rnacentral:rRNA from 1 species
UACGAUGGGGGCUAGUGUUGUUCGGAAUCACUGGGCGUAAAGGGAGCGUAGGCGGGUGUCUAAGUUGGGUGUUUAAUUCCGGGGCCCAACCCCGGGCGUGCACUCAAAACUGGGCAUCUUGAAUAGGGGAGAGGUCGGUGGAAUUGGAGGUGUAGCGGUGGAAUGCGUAGAGAUCUCCAAGAACACCAGUUGCGAAGGCGGCCGACUGGACCCAUAUUGACGCUGAGGCUCGAAAGCAUGGGGAGCAAACAGG